UACGGAGGGUGCGAGCGUUGUCCGGAAUCAUUGGGCGUAAAGGGCGCGUAGGUGGCCCGGUCAGUUCGUGGUGAAAGCGCGGGGCUCAACCCUGCGUCGGCCAUGAAUACUGCCGCGGCUGGAGCACUGUAGAGGCAGGCGGAAUUCCGGGUGUAGCGGUGGAAUGCGUAGAGAUCCGGAAGAACACCGGUGGCGAAGGCGGUUCUACUGG
rnacentral:rRNA from 1 species